rnacentral:rRNA from 1 species
UACGUAGGAGGCAAGCGUUGUCCGGAAUCACUGGGCGUAAAGCGCGUGUAGGCGGAGCGGUAAGUCGGCUGUGAAAGUCCAGGGCUCAACCCUGGGAUGCCGGUCGAUACUGCCGGACUAGAGUUCGGAAGAGGCGAGUGGAAUUCCCGGUGUAGCGGUGAAAUGCGCAGAUAUCGGGAGGAACACCUAUGGCGAAGGCAGCUCGCUGGGACGUUACUGACGCUGAGACGCGAAAGCGUGGGGAGCAAACAGG